AGAAUGUCUCUGAAAUGAGAUGAGUGGAAAAUGCCUUAAACAGGUGGAUGUGGAACAGGUCGGGGACUUUAAGGACUUCAGUGGAGGAGGGGUGGGUUGGGGAAGGGAAACAAAUGAAGAUGUCUUAGAAGUCACUGCAAUUUAUAUGGAAUCUGUUCAACGCCGACACUGAACCAUAUGAGAAGACGUUUGAAACUAUUGCUUUGCUGAAAACAUCUGACUGCCAGGCUAGGAUGUGACACUUAAGGGACUUACCAAUUUGGGAUUCUUCCAGGAGCUGAAAACUGAUUGCAAAUAUGAAACAGAUUUCACUACAGGACUUGAACCCUACAUUAAAAAACAACAAGCUCCCCAAAAUAAUUGAAAAAGAUCUUCACCAAAGAGUAGCUGCAAUGUGAAUGGCAGGAUAUGAAGCAAGUAAGAGAGCUAUCACUGCCAAAGGCUACUGACUAAUGGUGAAAAGAUUAUCUUAAGCUUGGAAUUAAGUGAUGAAAGGGACCUUCGAAAUUAUCAACUCUAAAUACUUCUUUACAGGAAAAUUGAAAGCAGUUAAGAACCUGCCCCCUACCGUGGAGUUCUUGGUGCCGUGAGUUGGAGUUCUUGGUGCCUGGGUGCGUCCCCAAGGCCACUGGUCUUCAGAUCUUUCUUACUUGAGAAGAACGCCUCCGCCUCCUGGCUCUCCCACCAGUGGUAUUGCCACCACCACACACCAGCAUAAAGCACAGAUUGCUGCCCAGCUCCUUGGAGAGGGGCCAGUGCAUUUGUCAGGAAUUGAAAAGUUUUGGAGCCAGUUCGAGGACUUUCUCCUGCACAAAGUGUUGGCUGGAAGCAUGAUUAUCUCACACAGAGCGUUGGAAUUACUUCAUGAUGAUUUCAAAGAAAAUUUUCUUCUCUAAACACUCUUAUCCCAAGGGCAUCCUAAAGUUCCUCUGGAAUGCAUUGGGUGGGAGAGAAAGUUCUAUGUCAACUCUUCUGGCAGAGGGAAAAGCUGACCGAGGAAGUCAAAAUGAAAGAAAGAAGCAGACAGGACUGAGGCUCCCUGAGAUGCAGAAACUGAGGCACAGAGCAAGGGGCUAGGAUUCUUGACUUUCUUCUGCAGAACACUGAAACAUGCCUCCUCUUUCCUGGCCCCACCAAGCAGAGUUUAGGCUUCAAGAAGACUGAAUGCAUCUGUACAGAGCACAAUCCCUUCUCCAAGAAGGAAACCAUGGGGCUUAUCAAGAAAGGCGUACACUGAAGAGACUGGAAAGUGAAGAUGCACUAUUUGUCAAGAUGUGCCACAGCAGAAGCAAGUUGUGUUGGCAGUAGGAAACAAGAUAAAGAGAAGAACUCAAAGAAUUGAGAGAAGGCUUUGAACAUGAUGAUGGAGAAAUAACACUCUUGGGAGAAAUGAAGAUACUUUCUCCUCCCUGGUUUACCUGAGUUUCCAGCACCCAGUGAUAAGAAAGGAUGGCAUUAGUGAUGUGUACACCUGCAGUGAUAGCUUCACCUUUCUAAAGCAGAUGCCGUGGUAGACAUUUUGCCAGCCCUCCUUUCACUAUACACACAGCUUGGUGUACGCUGGCAGACUUUUGACCUAAUUUCUUAACCCUCAAAUAUUCCAAGACAGAACAAAGCACACAACAAAACCAGAAUGAGGCCGGGCAAAGUGGCUCAUGCCCGUAAUCCCAGCACUUUGGGAGGCUAAGGGGUGGGCAGAUCACUUGAGGUCAGGAGUUUGAGACCAGCCUAGGCAACAUGGUGAAACCCAGUCUCUACUGAAAAUACAAAAAUCAGCCGGGUGUGGUGGCAAAUGCCUGUAAUCCCAGCUACUGGGGAGGCUGAGACACAAGAAUCACUUGAACCCAGGAGGGGGAGUUUGCAGUGAGCCGAGAUUGUGCCACUGCAUGCCAGUCUGAACAACAGAGCAAGACUCUGUCACAAAAACAAACAAAAAACUGAAUGAAUGGAAGCAGAUAAGUGCAGAGAGAAACACUGAUUUACCUUCAGAAAGAUAAAAAAGUAGUAUAUUGAUAUACUUGUAUAUUGCUAUCUACUAGUAUAGCUUCAGUUGGUGUAUGAGUAUAGAACUAUUGGGUUGUUCUUUAUGUGAUUACUCCUUCCCAGUUUUAGUAAAGUAUUCCAAUUUGAGGGAAAUUCUUUCAUUUGUCAAUAAAAUAAAAAGAGGUAAGUUUUAAAAUCUGUAUAGUUCUUCCUUCAUGCUAGUUGCCUCUCUUUUUGAUAUUUCUUCUAUAAAAAUCUUUUCUUACAUUCAGUUUUCAUUGUAUAGAUCAUGAAGGAACCAUAGUGAUUAUCAAAGAUCAGCCGAUAAGUUCAAGGCAGAGUUCCACCUUUCCCCAUGAAGCCCUUCCAGACUUGUUUACAUGUAACACCCUUGAAGGCAAGACUCAUGUCUAUGCUAUCUUUGCUGCUAUUUGGCACGUAUUAGGUGUAAGGGCAAUUAGACCAUAUCAAUUAAUGAUCAGUAAGAAUGGAUAAAGUAGAUGUUUUUGUGAGCCUCUCAAAGAAGAUGUAUAGAAUAUUUUGGAAAUGGGCCCAAUUUGUUUCUAAAGGAAAAUUUACUUUCAAAUUAAAAAAAAAAAAUCACUCAAAUGAGAUUUUGGGGGAUUUCAUAUGAUUAACUCUUUACAUUAUCUUGUGGUAAUUAUACAGAAAUCUGUAUUUAUGUAAACACAGUAAAUGCAUCAUAACACUAGAAUAAGUAUACAAAUACUGCAUGUCAAAUUAGGUUAUAAUCACUUUCAAGGGACGUGAUUUCCUAGCUAAACAGAUUCGUUUACAUUUUGCAAAAUAAAAAAUAAGUGAAAAUAACUAUAUAAAAUCAGGCUUACAGCUGGACAGAUCUUCUUGGCAAUGGUCCAGACACUGAGUAGGGAAAAGCCCCUCCAGCUGAGGAACGUUCAGGACGCUCAGGACGACUUUGCAGGCGCGGCCGGGAGAGAGGCCAUUUUUGGGGUUGCCUUGACUGUGCACCCUGUUCCUGGCUACCUAUGGGGAGAUAAGCUGCAUUCACAUAUCAGAUGAGACUCUUUUUGUGAGAGGUCUGGGGUGGGAUGUGGGAAGUGGAGUGAAAACCUGCUUAGUAGGGGAGGAAAAAAACAAGCAAUCCAACACUUCACCUUUAGGUAAUAAACAUAAUAGAAAAAGUCAGGAAUUCUCUAACUAAAAAGCAGACAGUGGAAGCUAGCAUCGGACUCACUGAAUUUUAGAAUCAGGGUCUGUGUACCAUGGAUUAUCUGGCCCUGCCCUUGUCACUGGAUGAGAAGAUUCUGGCUAUAGGGCAAGAAGCAGUGCUUGGACCGAGAUCCAGAAUGUUACCCUCAAAUCUGAAGCUUAUUUAUGAGAUAAAUAAAGCUCAUAUUUUCAAGAGAGAUAAUUAUUUUAAAACUUCUCAUUUCAAUGUGUACCUUAAAAAAAUAAAUACAUUUUGGGCCAGGUGCGAUGGUUCAUGCCUGUAAUCCCAGCACUUUGGGAGGCCGAGGUGGGCAGAUCAUGAGGUCAGUUUGAGACCAGCCUGGCCAACAUAGUGAAACUCCGUCUCUACUAAAAAUAAAAAUAAAAAAAUUAGCUGGGCAUAGUGGCACGUACCUGUAGUCCCAGCUACUUAGGAGGCUGAAGCAGGAGAAUCGCUUGAACCCAUGAGGCAGAGGUUGUGGUGAGCCCAAAUUGCGCCACUGCACUCCAGCCUGGGCAACAGAGCAAGACUCCAUCUCAAAAAACCAAUCAACCAACCAACCAACAAAAAACAUUUCACAUCUCCCUGACGUAGCCAACAUUUUCUCCAACAUUCUCUUAUUUUGAUGGCAGAAGGGCAUAACUGUAAAUCUCAGUUUUUAUAUGGUAUUGUAUAAUAUAGUGGCAUCCUUUGCGGCCAGUUGAUUGUGAAGAGCAGUUUGCCUUUACUUAGCUUCCAUGAACAUUAGCUUUAAAUGCUCAUUGACAUUAAUGAGAGCCAGUUUGCUAAAUCUGUGUCUCCUUCAUGUUCAUUUGCUACUUAGUUUUGUUGAUUCCAAGAAGUCACUAAUUUUUUUAAAUCAUAGAUUCUGAUUUCGAGGUAGCUUCAUUUUUCUAGUGUUGAGUAAAAUGUGUGUGUGUGUGUGCUUUAGUUUAAUUAAUACUAAUUUUUAUUCAAAAUAUAUUUGUUGAGCACUUACUCUCUGCUGUGGCUGGGCAUACAUUACUUUCUUUCCACAGUCCGUUGGUUGAAUUGUCCUGAGCAGGGGUUGACAAAUGAUGGCCUGUGAGCCAAAUCUACCCCACUGCCUGUUUUUGUAAAUAAAGCUUUAUCAGAACAUA